rnacentral:tRNA from 1 species
CUAAAUAUAGCUUAUAAAAAGCAUUUAAAUGUUAAUUAAAAGAAACAAAAUUGUUAUUUAGA